rnacentral:lncRNA from 1 species
CACAGCUUUCAAAGAGAUCUUCAGAGGUUGAUGAAGCUUAGACAGACAAGAAGUUCUGAAGUCUUUAUCCUCUGAACGUUGAAUCUUCUGAAGUCCAACAUCUUCUGAGCGCUUGUGAACUUCUGAAUUCACAUCCUCUGAACUUCACUCAGGACUUAAAUGAUGCUUAUAUCUGCGCACUUAAAAUAAAUUUUUAGUCCUUCCAAUUGUUUAUUAAUACUUUGUUAUCAUCAAAACCUUUAUAGAUUUAGGGGCAAACAUUUUAAAAUCAAUUUUGUUCCAACA